AUAGUUUGAUGCUGGCUCAGAACGAACGUUAGCGGUGUGGAUUAGGCAUGCAAGUCGUGCGCGAAAGCCUUCGGGCGAGUAAAGCGGCGGACGGGUGAGUAACACGUAACCAACCUACCCUCGAGAUCGGAAUAACCACUGGAAACGGUGGGUAAUGCCGAAUGGCCCCAGAGCUUGGCAUCAGGCAUUGGGUAAACGGUGGCUUCGGCUGCUGCUCGGGGAGGGGGUUGCGGCCUAUCAGCUUGUUGGUGGGGUAACGGCCUACCAAGGCAAUGGCGGGUAGCCGGUUUGAGAGGACGACCGGUCACACUGGGACUGAGACACUGCCCAGACUCCUACGGGAGGCUGCAGUCGAGAAUCUUCCGCAAUGGGCGAAAGCCUGACGGAGCGACACCGCGUGCAGGAUGAAGGCCUUCGGGUUGUAAACCGCUGUCACGCUAUAGGAAUGCCAUGUCGUUAAUAGCUUCAUGGUUGACCAAAGCGAGAGGAAGCACCGGCUAACUCCGUGCCAGCAGCCGCGGUAAGACGGAGGGUGCAAACGUUGUUCGGAAUUACUGGGCAUAAAGCGCACGUAGGCGGCUGAAUCAGUCCGUUGUGAAAGCCCUCGGCUCAACCGGGGAACUGCAAUGGAUACUGUUCAGCUCGAGGAUGGUUGGGGUGAGUGGAACUCCUGGUGGAGCGGUGAAAUGCGUAGAUAUCAGGAGGAACACCAGUGGCGAAGGCGACUCACUGGACCAUAUCUGACGCUGAGGUGCGAAAGCUAGGGGAGCGAACGGGAUUAGAUACCCCGGUAGUCCUAGCCGUAAACGAUGGGCACUAGGUAGGGGGGAAUACCUAUGGUCUUCCC
rnacentral:rRNA from 1 species